rnacentral:lncRNA from 1 species
UGGUGGUGCACUCCUUUUUUUGCUACGGCCCUUUGAAAAUGCCAAAUUUUGAUGAUUUUCCCAUUUUUCAUCUAUUUUUACCUAUUUUUGGGCUAUAAUCGUGAAAAAAAUCACAGUUUCACAAUUAAACUUUUUUUCAUACUUUCUAUAAAGAUUAAGUGGACCAAUCUGAAUAAAAUUUACUUAAAAAAAACUAUAGGUAGGUGUUAAUAUAAGAAAGUUU